CCCUGGUUUUUCUUAUAGCAGGGAGAAGAUACCAAAGCUUUUCCAGGUGUUGGGAAGUUCUGCUCCUGUCCUUGUCAAACUCUGGUGCUUCCAGAUA
rnacentral:snoRNA from 1 species